UGCAAUUAAAAAAACCCUACCGAUUCCUUUUCAUAAGAACGCUUAACAUUUUCUCUCUCUAAACCAAAAAAACCAAGCGAUAUUGCGAUACAAAGAAAGGGAAGGAGGUAAAAAAAAAAAUCUGCACUCAAAUGUUCGUCCCAGAGGCAUUCAGAUAUGGAGUUAGGGAUCGACAGUUAGGGUCGCCGCCCAUAUGAAAGUAGAGAACGCCUCUCUAUUUCUGACAGAACGCCUCUCUAUUUCUCUCACUAAGAUCAGAGUUCAUUCGCCAUUUUGAUUUUACCAGAGAAAGAAGAAGAAGAAGAAGGAAGAUGAUACCGACUUCAGCGUCAAGAACGAAAAAGUCCCCUCUUCCCACAAACAACGCCUCCGAUGGGAUCUAUUCUUUCUCUGAUUUUUUUUUAGUAGCAGGUUUAAUUAUGCACUUGAAGUGUUAGAUAAAAUGCCUAGAAGAUGCAAGGUUGGUUUUUAUUGGGAUGCUUUGGUCUCAGAUUAAGAUCUAUCAUCUCUGCUCUGGCUUAUAAGACAGUUAGUAGCUAUUCAAGAAGAGCUACUUGAUUAAAUAUAAAGGUCAGG